AACGAACGCUGGCGGCAUGCCUAAUACAUGCAAGUCGAACGAGAUCUUCGGAUCUAGUGGCGCACGGGUGCGUAACGCGUGGGAAUCUACCCUUGGGUUCGGAAUAACAGUUAGAAAUGACUGCUAAUACCGGAUGAUGACGUAAGUCCAAAGAUUUAUCGCCCAGGGAUGAGCCCGCGUAGGAUUAGCUAGUUGGUGAGGUAAAGGCUCGCCAAGGCUACGAUCCUUAGCUGGUCUGAGAGGAUGAUCAGCCACACUGGGACUGAGACACGGCCCAGACUCCUACGGGAGGCAGCAGUAGGGAAUAUUGGACAAUGGGCGAAAGCCUGAUCCAGCAAUGCCGCGUGAGCGAUGAAGGCCUUAGGGUUGUAAAGCUCUUUUACCCGGGAUGAUAAUGACAGUACCGGGAGAAUAAGCCCCGGCUAACUCCGUGCCAGCCGCCGCAGUAA
rnacentral:rRNA from 1 species